rnacentral:rRNA from 1 species
UACGAAGGGGGCUAGCGUUGCUCGGAAUUACUGGGCGUAAAGCGCACGUAGGCGGAUUGUUAAGUCGGGGGUGAAAUCCUGGAGCUCAACUCCAGAACUGCCUUCGAUACUGGCGAUCUCGAGUUCGGGAGAGGUGAGUGGAACUGCGAGUGUAGAGGUGAAAUUCGUAGAUAUUCGGCGGAACACCAGUGGCGAAGGCGGAACUCACUGGCCCGAUACUGACGCUGAGGCGCGAAAGCGUGGGAGCAACAGGG